AUUGAACGCUGGCGGCAGGCCUAUCACAUGCAAGUCGAGCGGAUGAAGGGAGCUUGCUCCUGGAUUCAGCGGCGGACGGGUGAGUAAUGCCUAGGAAUCUGCCUGGUAGUGGGGGAUAACGUCCGGAAACGGGCGCUAAUACCGCAUACGUCCUGAGGGAGAAAGUGGGGGAUCUUCGGACCUCACGCUAUCAGAUGAGCCUAGGUCGGAUUAGCUAGUUGGUGGGGUAAAGGCCUACCAAGGCGACGAUCCGUAACUGGUCUGAGAGGAUGAUCAGUCACACUGGAACUGAGACACGGUCCAGACUCCUACGGGAGGCAGCAGCGGGGAAUAUUGGACAAUGGGCGAAAGCCUGAUCCAGCCAUGCCGCGUGUGUGAAGAAGGUCUUCGGAUUGUAAAGCACUUUAAGUUGGGAGGAAGGGCAGUAAGUUAAUACCUUGCUGUUUUGACGUUACCAACAGAAUAAGCACCGGCUAACUUCGUG
rnacentral:rRNA from 1 species